GAUGAACGCUGGCGGCGUGCCUAAUACAUGCAAGUCGAGCGAACAGACGAGGAGCUUGCUCCUCUGACGUUAGCGGCGGACGGGUGAGUAACACGUGGAUAACCUACCUAUAAGACUGGGAUAACUUCGGGAAACCGGAGCUAAUACCGGAUAAUAUAUUGAACCGCAUGGUUCAAUAGUGAAAGACGGUUUUGCUGUCACUUAUAGAUGGAUCCGCGCCGCAUUAGCUAGUUGGUAAGGUAACGGCUUACCAAGGCAACGAUGCGUAGCCGACCUGAGAGGGUGAUCGGCCACACUGGAACUGAGCACCGUCCCAGCCUCCUACGGGAGGCAGAAGUAGGGAAUCUUCCGCAAUGGGCGAAAGCCUGACGGAGCAACGCCGGGUGAGUGAUGAAGGUCUUCGGAUCGUAAAACCCUGUUAUUAGGGAAGAACAAAUGUGUAAGUAACUAUGCACGUCUUGACGGUACCAAACCAGAAAGCCACGGCUACUUACGG
rnacentral:rRNA from 1 species